CAGUCGCCGCGGGAAUACGGAGGGGGCUAGCGUUGUUCGGAAUUACUGGGCGUAAAGCGCACGUAGGCGGCUUUGUAAGUUAGAGGUGAAAGCCUGGAGCUCAACUCCAGAAUUGCCUUUAAGACUGCAUCGCUUGAAUCGCGGAGAGGUGAGUGGAAUUCCGAGUGUAGAGGUGAAAUUCGUAGAUAUUCGGAAGAACACCAGUGGCGAAGGCGGCUCACUGGACGCGUAUUGACGCUGAGGUGCGAAAGCGUGGGGAGCAAACAGGAUUAGAUACCCCCGUAGUCCCUGUCUCUUAUAC
rnacentral:rRNA from 1 species